GACGAACGCUGGCGGCGUGCUUAACACAUGCAAGUCGAACGGAAAGGCCCUGCUUGCAGGGUGCUCGAGUGGCGAACGGGUGAGUAACACGUGGGUGAUCUGCCCCUUACUUUGGGAUAAGCCUGGGAAACUGGGUCUAAUACUGGAUAGGACCAUGCUGUAGGUGGUGUGGUGGAAAGAUUAGUUUCGGUAAGGGAUGAGCUCGCGGCCUAUCAGCUUGUUGGUGGGGUAAUGGCCUACCAAGGCGUCGACGGGUAGCCGGCCUGAGAGGGUGGACGGCAACGUUGGGACUGAGAUACGGCCCAGACUCCUACGAGAGGCAGCAGUGGGGAAUAUUGCACAAUGGGCGCACGCCUGAUGCAGCGAAGCCGCGUGGAGGAUGACGGCCUGCGGUUUGUAAACUCCUUUCAGCCAUGACGAAGCCCAUGUGGUGACGGUAGUGGUAGAAAAAGCACCGGCUAACUACGUG
rnacentral:rRNA from 1 species